rnacentral:rRNA from 1 species
UGGCCCGAUAGGCGAUCGCGUACGAGCACGCCAGUGCAUGCACAUGCCACAGCUUGAUCCAUGGCUAUCAGCCAGCGCGUGCCGUCAGGGAGGUUGAGAUCCGUACGACAGCAGCGCCCAGUCCCGUGUCGUUCGGCGGCCACAAACGGCACUCUAAUGACACUGCCGGUGACAAACCGGAGGAAGGUGGGGAUGACGUCAAGUCCUCAUCGCCCUUAUGGGUAGGGCUUCACACGGUCAUACAAUGGUCGGGACAAAAGGUCGCCAACCCGCGAGGGGGAGCCAAUCCCAGAAACGCCGAUCGUAGGGGGCUUUUAGCAGUCCAAAAAGUACGUGCAGGCGUCAAGGUGGUCCCCCCAAACGAAAAGGUGCGGCUGGCC